UACGUAGGGUCCAAGCGUUAUCCGGAAUUACUGGGCGUAAAGCGUGCGUAGGCGGUUUGUUAAGUCCGUUGUGAAAGCCCUGGGCUCAACCUGGGAAUUGCAGUGGAUACUGGCGAGCUAGAGUGCGGUAGAGGAUGGUGGAAUUCCCGGUGUAGCGGUGAAAUGCGUAGAGAUCGGGAGGAACACCCGUGGCGAAGGCGGCCAUCUGGACCAGCACUGACGCUGAGGCACGAAAGCGUGGGGAGCAAACAGG
rnacentral:rRNA from 1 species